CCUACGGGAGGCAGCAGUGAGGAAUAUUGGUCAAUGGCCGGAAGGCUGAACCAGCCAUGCCGCGUGAAGGUCAGUGCCCUAUGGGCGUUAAACUUCUUUUGUGCGGGAGCAAUAAUGGUCACGUGUGGCCAGACGAGAGUACCGUACGAAUAAGCAUCCGCUAACUCCGUGCCAGCAGCCGCGGUAAUACGGGGGAUGCAAGCGUUAUCCGGAUUUAUUGGGUUUAAAGGGUGCGUAGGCUGGGAGGUAAGUCAGCGGUGAAAUGCCCGCGCUCAACGGGGUGAAGUGCCAUUGAUACUGCCUGGCUGGAAUGCGGAUGCCGUGGGAGGAAUGUGUGGUGUAGCGGUGAAAUGCAUAGAUAUCACACAGAACACCGAUUGCGAAGGCAUCUCACGAAUCCGCGAUUGACGCUGAUGCACGAAAGCGUGGGUAUCAAACAGGAUUAGAUACCCCAGUAGUC
rnacentral:rRNA from 1 species